rnacentral:tRNA from 1 species
GCCCGCGUAGCUCAAUGGACAGAGCGCCGGUCUUCUAAACCGAUGUGGUGUGGGUUCGAGUCCCGCCGUGGGCA